rnacentral:SRP_RNA from 1 species
GCCAGGUGUAGGGUGGUAUGUGCCUGUAGUCUCAGCUACUCAGGAGGCUGAGGCAGGAUUGCUUGAGCCCAGGAGUUCUGGGCUGUAGUACGCUAUGCCAAUCAGGUGUCCACACUAAGUUUGGCAUCAAUAUGGUGACCUCCUGGGAGCAGGGGACCACCAGGUUGUCUAAAGAGAAGUGAACUGGCCCAGGUCGGAAAUGGAGCAGGUCAAAACUCCUGUGCUGAACAACAGUGGGAUCACUCCUAUGAAUAGCCACUGCACUCCAGCCUGGCAAUAUAGUGAGAUACCAUCCCU